rnacentral:rRNA from 1 species
AUGAACGCUGGCGGCGUGCUUAAUACAUGCAAGUCGAACGAGGGACUUUUGUCUUCGGAUGGAGGUUUCCUAGUGGCGAACGGGUGAGUAACGCGUUGGUGACCUGCCCCGAAGUGGGGGAUAACAGUUCGAAAGGACUGCUAAUACCUCAUGAUAUCAAUUGGACUAGAUACCUUUUGAUCAAAGGCGAAAGCCGCUUUGGGAGGGGCCUGCGUCCCAUCAGCUUGUUGGUAGGGUAAUGGCCUACCAAGGCUAAGACGGGUAGGGGACCUAAGAGGGUGACCCCCCACACUGGCACUGAAACACGGGCCAGGCACCUACGGGUGGCAGCAGUAGGGAAUUUUGGACAAGGGGCGAAAGCCUGAUCCAGCAACGCCGCGUGCGCGAUGAAGGCCUUCGGGUUGUAAAGCGCUUUUAGAGGAGAUGAGAAAGGACAGUAUCCUCUGAAUAAGCCUCGGCGAACUACGU